UUCUCAGGGACUGUUCCGUCUGGUUCUUGGCACACAUUAUGCGUUCAGUACAGCCGCCUUCUCACCUCCCUCACUAAGCACACACGGCAGAUUCAACCAGAAAGAAAACAGCUGGGCACUCAAGGUUCAGACGGUAACUUCAGAAAGCUACUCUUCAGACAGUUGGAAGAAAAACAUAUCGGAAUUUAGUCGUGUUUUGCUCUAAUUAAAACACAUACCUUGUUGAAAACACACCUCCCAUCUUUAGGAGACACUAAUGUGCUCAGAUAUAUGUAGGAGUGUUUUUAGAAGGUUGUUCCUUUCACCCUUUCCUUUCCGUCCUAUAAGCACCGGACAAGCCAAACCUAUUGCAUCUGAACAGCAGCACCAACUUGCUCUACACCUAAUUUGAUGACCCUUCUCUUAGUUUCAAUGAAAGGAGUUCUCCGUGGAGCCCAGGUCUCUAACCUUCAAAGCGCCCUUUCUUUUCCGCACUCGGGACCUUUUGGCGAGUUUUAGAUGGGAAUUUGCAAUCCCAGUGCCUGGGAUGCUGGCUCUUCACCAGAAUCCCGGCUGUGAUUAAUCUGCCUUUCCUGAAGGCAGAAGGUGACCUACUGGGGCGAUGCGCGCCGCGCUGGAGGGGAGCUCCCAGCGGCGGGAGGAGGCUCGCGAGCGCGGCCAGACCGGUCCCAACCCGCCGCCGCUGCGCCCCCGAAACUGGGGAACGGGGAGUGCUGUGGCCCAGCGAUCAUGCAUUUCUUCCAUGAAUUCACCUCCCGGGGCCUCUCUUACCUGCGGAAGGGCGUUUCUGCUCGUCAAAUCGCUCACAUCCUUGGAUAACCAGCCCCGGAGGACCACGACCUUCAGCCAUCCGCGCGCGGGCAGCCACGCGCUGGAGGCCGGGGUGGGGGCAGGACCCAGCCUGAGACCCCGCCCAACGUCUGGUACCUGCCAGUUACAGGCGCCCAGAGCGUUAAACUGGAGGCGGGAAUCCGCAGCCUAUGGGCAGACACCAACUGCGGACCUUAAAGUAAGGAAGGACUUGAAGUAUUAUACUGAUACCAAUAUCAACGUGAGGAAGCAAGAUGAACUGAAUGCAAAGUCGAUCUGUUUAUACACGGCAGUUCCUAUAAAUCCAUUUAUUUCUCUCAAAAAUUCCCGAGAGACACAGCUUUGAUCCCCACUCUGCACAUGAAAAAAACGAAGGCAGAAAGAGACAAGAUUCCAAAGAUGAGAGAGAAUAAAUACUCCUUGAUGCUAAGUUCUUGAAGAUACUGGGAGAAGAAGUUGAUGUCAUCAUGAUGCCAGGCUGAAGGGAAACAACCAGCCCUGUACCGUCAGAGUGCAGGGGACAGAAUGAGCAAUUCCAAAGCACGGAGUACGCAGGACUGGAGGAAGCAGGUGGAGGAAGGAAGAAAGUCUCACCAAAUUCCAUGAGCAAAGCCAGAGGAAACUUACCCUAGAGGAAGAGGCUACUGCCUAGCAGCAGCAUUGCUUCUGGCAGCAGCACUUACACUGGCAGCACUUCUGCUGACAGCAGCCCUUCCCGCAGCCACAGCCACAGCCACAGGAGCCACAGCCACAGGAGCCACAGCCACAGGAGCGGCGGCAGCAGCAGACCACGGGGACGCUGCAGCAGCCCCCGCAGCAGCCACGGCAGCAGGGGCAGCAGCCAGAGCAGCAGCCGACCCUGUAGCAUCUGCAGGUGGUGCAGCCACCGCAGCCGCCGCCGCAGCCACCACAGCCGCCGCCACAGCCACAGCCACCACCACAACCACCACAGCCACAGCCACCACCGCAGCCACCACAGCCACAGCACCCCAUGGUAUCAGCAGAGAGGACUCAGGUGAAGUGAGGAGAGAGACUUAGGAGAUGAGAGACGUCUGAUGCCCUUUGCUUCAGGGGCCCUUAUAUACCCCCUUGGGGCUGAAACCAGGCCACGUGGCCACUUCCUGAUUGUAGUUCACCAGCUUUCCUCGGAGAAUUUCACAAGACCCUGAGUGUAUUUCCUCACGGACACCUCUGAGCUCACAGACUUGUUUAUUUUUGUACUUCUUCCUCAAGUUACUCUUCUAGUAAAACAUGUUUCUAGAAUGUUUAAUCUUGUUUGAAUCUAGCUGUCUUCACGUCCCAAGCCAAGGUCCCUCUGUGACUCAUUGUCUUUAGUUUAGGAUAAAUCAUGUCUACUUUUUAGAAGCAGACUAUAUUUUUUAGAGCAGUUUCAGGCUCAUGGCAAAAUAGUGCUGAAAGUACAGAGUGUUUCCAUAGGCCCCUUGUCCCCCUGUUCACAGCCUCCCCGCUAUCAGCCCCUGCACCGCAGCAGUGCAGUUGUGACAAUGAGCCUAUGUUGACAUGUGAUUAUCACCUGAAAUUCUGUGUUUUUUUUUUUUUAAUGCCUUCAUGUUACCGGAUCACAGCCCUUUGUCUGUGUUCACAAUCAGACUGUGAGCUUCCUAAAGUCUGGGGUUGUAUUGUAUGUGUAUUUUCAUCCCAGUAUCAGGAGCACAGAGGUGAGCUGACAAAGAGACAGGUUAAUGAGUAAAUGUUUGUGCCCCUCACCCCCCAGUUCAUAUGCUGAAUCUUAAGCACAUUUUAAUGGGAGUCUAUUUUACCUCCUGGGAACAGUUGGGUUGUCAUAAUUGGGAGAGUGGCCAUAGCUAGUGGGUGGAAGCCAGGGGCUGUUCAACAUCCUACCAUGCACAGGACAUCCCCACAACAAGGAUCUGUCUGGCUCCAGCCGUCAGUGGUGCCAAAGUUGAGAAACACUGCUGUAGGGCUUUACACUUCCAAAGCAUUUUCCCAUUUAUUAUUUCAAUACCAUAGAGUUUCCAGAGACUCAUCUACAAGAAAAUUAUUCCUCCCUCACUUAAUUAAUAAAGAAGCAUGAAGCCCCUGGCAUGUAUGAAGUUCUGUGCUGGCAAGUCCCGUAACAGAUCAUUGGUGCCUUUGUUUGGUCUGUGAUUUAGAACAGGAACUAAGGCCGGAUCAGGGCCACGUGUAUCAGAACAUGUGAGACUGCGAUGUGGGUCGUGUCUGCUGAUACCAACGGCUUUGAGUGUUAAUGAACAAUAUAUAUCUACACAGU